rnacentral:rRNA from 1 species
CGCCUACGGGACGCAGCAGUGGGGAAUAUUGCACAAUGGGGGAACCCUGAUGCAGCGACGCCGCGUGGGUGAAGGAGCGUUUCGGCGCGUAAAGCCCUAUCGGCAGGGAAGAAGGAGGACGGUACCUGACUAAGAAGCCCCGGCUAACUACGUGCCAGCAGCCGCGGUAAUACGUAGGGGGCAAGCGUUAUCCGGAUUUACUGGGUGUAAAGGGGGCGCAGACGGCAGCGCAAGCCAGGAGUGAAAGCCCGGGGCCCAACCCCGGGACUGCUUUUGAAACUGUAUGGCUAGAUUGCAGGAGAGGG